CGAUCCUCGCGUGGUUACAUAAGAAGAAAUUCCUGAGGAGGAAAAAUGAAAAUCCCUCCCAGCUGACGCUGUGAGGAUUACGAACAUGGGAAAUUCCAUAGCCGGAAGGUUGUCUGCCAACCAUUCGACUCAGAGAGUACAUGUUGCCAGGACACCGACGGAGUGUCAACGUGCGUUCAUCACAUAGACAACACACUUGCAAACACUCAUGCUGUUUUCCGAGGAAAGCAUGUCAUCGAUUUUGGAGAAACUCAACAAACUGAAAAAGUCGGGAGAUGGAGAAAUUCAAAAGAUGAGUAUGUUAUCGAAGAAUCAAAAAUUUGAUGUUCUGGAUAUUCGCAGAAUUGAGACAAUGUAUGGAGACACUGUCUACGUAGAAUUACUGACAGAUAAUGAGACCAAGGUGAAAGUCUACCUUCCGAAUAGAUUCAAGCGACUUUCGGACGAAGACCUGGAAGAGAUGAGACAGUUACCAAACCUCCAAAUGGAGAAGAAGGAUGGAUACCGCAAUGGCAAGAAGUUGGCGUAUCCAGACAUCAU